CUGUUGAUGCUAAACGGCUCACGCAACGCCCACCUCUUUCCCCCUGCCCCUCAGUUUCAGAAUUGAGGAAGAUCAGUUCUGAAACAUCCUGAUCACAGCAUCUCAGGGAACAUGCAAACGUACUGUUCAUUUCGCAAAGGAGUAAAACCAGUUCUGAAAGGAUUUUUCAAGAGAGCAGUUCCUUGUCCAUCAACAGCUGGGAACUUGGCCUUCCAUUCAUUAGCCAAGGGCACCCUCCUACGCAGAGUUUGAGAACAUGUGAGCCGAACAGCCCCCCUGGAAUGCUGACAGAGGGAGGAUCCCAGACUGUCAGGACCACAGCAUGGGUUUGAAUUAAAAGAAUGGCUCUCUUAGGGUUUAAGCCUACAAGGUGCCAAGUUCCUUGGCCUCCCCCGGCCUAGCAUAUACCUAAUUGAAGUCUUUGAGUAGUCUCAUUGAGAUCAGGCAUCAUGGUCUAAUGAGCUGGGCAAUAAAUUGGGAGUCAGGAAACCCGAGUUCUCUUCCUAGCAAUGCCACUACCUACUGAGUUGCUUUGUCCCCCCUACCCUUUGUCUCUCCUGUCUAGUUAGAUUGUAGGGGUCUUGCCUAUACAGGGAAAGAGACUGCAAUGGCUAUUCCAGAAUAGCUCUCUGUUGUGGAACAGUGGGUGUCCACACUGGGGUGGGGGGAAAAGUUGUUCUGGAAUUCCUGAUUUAGGCCAGAAUAGCUACCCUGGACUAAAAACUAACCCAGAAGAAUUAGGACUCUUCCAUUUCUCCUCUGUAGACAAGGCCUUAGUUCUUCACAGUAGGGGCUAUCUUCUGUGUUUGUAUUACAUUAGUGCCUGGAUGUUCCAACUGAGAUCACAGGCCUGUUGUGCCAGGCACUUUACAAAUAAUAAAAAUAGAAACAAAAAAAGGUGAAACUAGUUUUUCCAACCCUCCCCCCCCCCAAACUGAGGGAGAAGUAACAAGCAGCAUAAAUGGCAACAGGCAAAUUGGACCAAGAAACUCUCCGUUUUAACCAUUUACAUUGAUCAAAAUGAAAUAAGGGAAUGUUUUAAAAGCAUAUUACAGAAACAAAAUGUGUAUAUCACGUUACACAAGUGAAACACAGUCUUUUAAGCUGACUGGCCUUUUAAAACAUGUUAUAGCAUCACUUCAGUCAUCAGUGUAUGACGUGAGAGAGAAACCGUUAUGCUUAAUAAUCUGUUACACCUUGUACUUAGCUCAGGCAUGUUGGUGACUUUCUCCAGACCUGAGGAAGAGCCUCACGAAGUUCAAAAGCUUGUCCCUUCCACCAACAGAAGUUGGUCCAGUAAAAAGGCAUUACCUCACCUUCCUUGUCUCAAGCAUUAAUAUAAUGAAGUUGAACAAAACACAAAUAGUAAAGUUCAGCAGCCCAAUUUUUGUUCAGCUGAUCCAUCACAUUAGUCACUGCAGUUCAGUUAAGAAAAAAAAAUCUAUUUUUUCCAUUAACGCAGUAGCUAUUUAUAUGCAUCUCCAUGCAAUAUGCAAUUUACUGGAAGACAAAAGCUAGAUUUGAAAAGGAAUGGAGAUCAGGGAGUUUAGAAGUUGUAUCAACAAGACUUUUGGCGUGCAAGGAUUUUCCUUCCUUAGGUCCAAAUCCAGCAAGAGACAUUUAAGCACACGCCGAAGCACUUAAGCACCUGCUAAACAGGAGCACCAGGUUCAGCGCUUUGCCGAAUAGGGAUGGCCUUCAGCAUUGCUUAGAUGAUGUGCCAAGUCCACAUUAAACGUGCUUAGCAGAAUACAGAUGGAUUGCUGUGUCACAAUCCUGCACAGAAAUGCAAAUAGCUGUGCUAAUGAAAGCCACCCCCCCCCCGCAACCCGAUAAAGCUAUUUUAAUGUGUUAAGAAUGCACAGAGUAUGCCUCCCUUGUGUUACAACCCUUCCUCCUGGUAAGAGGCAGGACAUUUCUUCUUGAUUAGCAGCCAGCUGGCACCCCUUUCGACUUUCCUAUUAUUGGAUUUAAUUUAUCUUCUCCUUCGAUCCAGCACGGUUUUAUGAAAUAGUGUUAACUGAAAUACACCCUCGUCAUCAAGUGCUCCUUUCAGCUAGUAUUUAAUCAGAACAGGCAUCCCAGCUCUUUGUUUUACUGGUUCUUUGAGGAAUAUUUGCUGUGUUCUUAGUAGUUAUUUUUGCGAUUGCUUGGAAAGUUCAUAACCAGAGAGAGGCAUCUGCCAUUUUUAGCUGCAUCAUUGCUGCAGAUGUCCCCAAUCCUGAGUAAUUUUGCAUAAAUCAUCCCAUAGAAAGGAGGAUCCCAGGUACAAUGGUUAAGUCUCUGACCCUGGGUCUACCAAGCCCCAGAGUAAUGAUCUGCUCCACCACUGACUUCCUGCAUGACCUCGGACAAGUUGCUUAGGGCUUAUCUACACAUGAAAGUUUUCAGAUUAAUUUGAGUUUUUUGGGUGGGAUAAGCUGCCUUGUGUCCACACACACACACACACACACACACACACACACACACACACACACACAGUUGCCCCCUAGUUGUUUGGCACCUCAUUUGAUAUUAGUUAAUCCACUUUGGAAGUGGAUUAAUACUAUUUUGGACUAAGCUAACCCAGGAGAAGGCUUGUGUGGAUGCCUACUCAUGUCAAAUUAACUAUUCCCUUCUAGCAUUCCUCCCACUGCUACCCCACAGUGAGCUGCUGCACAGCUGAGUCAACCUGUGUACCUUCUACUGCUCUGAGAUCAUCAUGACUGGAUGCCAUGUUCCCAUGUGCCCCUGUGAAAGUCCAGCUCAUGGGGAGUUCACACACCCAUUCUAGCACCCAUGCCCUGUGCUUCCCCAUGCACAGGUCCUGGACUUCCUUGGUCCUUGAGGAGAGGAGUGUGUCCAAUCCCAUGUUAACAGCAGUCAUCAGAAUACGUGAGACCCAGUGAAGGAGAUGGGCCACUCCCUGAACAUGGCCCAGUGCAGCUAUGAAGCAGAGAGGCUCCAGGAGAAUUAUAAAGCCACCAGGGUCAACAGCAAUGGUUCCUGGAUCUGCUCUCACAAGCAGACUGGAGUUUUGCUAGGGAGGCCACCGCUGAACCCUACUGUGUUCUGCACAGUUCUCAUAGCAACCAGACGCCUACAGACCCCAAUUAGGAGCACAAAGAUUGCCAUGGACAGCCAGGAACUCUUGGGUAUGCAACCCCCCUGAGACAGGAGACCCCCUGAAACCUAGGUUGAAAGCCAACUUGAUAGUGCAGGGGAGGGGACCUCUUCCGGUAAGUAUCAUGGGCUACUUUGGGGUACGCUCACGUGUAUUUGUGACCCCAUCAGCACAAAGACAUCUGCACUUUAGGCAUGUCUGCCACCAUUCCAGUGGUUUGUAGUUUGCAGCGUUGUGUUCACAAAAGGUUAUUAUUUACAACUUGGUUUAAAAAAAAAAAACAAAAAAACAGUGACACAAAACAUAACAAAAUCCUUGCACACAAUAUAUAGAUUUUUCCACCACUAUGCCCUAGCCUCAAAGUAUGAGUACAAUGCAUAUCCGAUCCUGUGUGCCUCACUAGACAAGGCCCCUGGCUAGUCAGAACAUCUGUGCAUCUCUACCUCCCACCCGUCGCGGAGGUUCAGUUACUUGCUUUCACAGAUGUUGUGCAAACACAGCAAGUAGCUAUCACAUGAGGCAAUAUUUCUCAGCAGCCUCCAGCUUAGUCAUGAGGUGUCCCCGUGAUCCAAAAAAACCCUUAGUGCCACAUGGCAAGGAGGUAACAAAAUAUCCUGAUUCUGGUAUUUAUAUCCUCGUUCACCAAAAGAAAACCAGUGUCACACUAGUUUUGAUAUCACUGUAAAAUGUAUGCACAGCUACUGUCUAAGGAGUUAUGUACAUACACACUGGAAAUAUGUUCUUGUAUCAAAGUAUUAAUCCCCAGCAUAGAUGAAAAAACUGUUUUCCUGCCAGACCAGAGAUGUUUAUCCACCUAUUUGUCUGUUGAAAUGUAAAUUGAAUAUUGUCUUAUUCACAAUCACCAAUCUGAGCUAAAUUGAGCUAUUUAACAGGAAGAGAAGAACAGGAGGAGAAAGACUCUUAUCUGGGGAUCUGCUUCAAAGAUUUACUGGACUAGAACUGGGGAACUAGGAAAGCACUCUGUUACCCCUGCACCUAGGAAGUAAAUGGAGAGCACAUUUAUAUUCAUGAAAACGGGAUCUCAGCCAGGCUCAGUUGAAAAUGCUGCAGAAGACAUUUGAGGUAGGAGAAAACAUCAGAGUUCCUGCUGCUCCUCUUCUCUGGUACAUGGAUAUUUAUCACAUUAUAGUGGGAGACAUGCCACAGAAAACCAAAACACUCUGUUUAUGAUGAUGUAAUCCACCACCUACCUGAAUCAAAUUCACCCACACCUCAGUAUCAACAAUUGUGCAAACACCACUAAGGAGAUCGAUGGCCCAAUGAAUUUAUGCUACAUCUGAGGCUCACCAGGCUUACGAGUGCACCCAUUGCUCCGUCGUGAAAAAGUACUCCUGACAGAAAUGCUUUGGUUUUUACAAACGACGAAGAUCUCCUUGCUCAAGGAUGGGUCUAGAAAUCGGGUAUUAAUGGAUUUGACCCUGAGGAUCCAUCCUUCCUAUUCAGCCAAGUCCUUACUUAACAAUUCCCUUCCCCCCUCGAUCUAUACACAGACAUGCACUCCCAAUUGACUGUGUGCCCUUGAAAAGCUCCUCAUAUUAAAAAUAUAUGAGAAAAACAGAAGCGGAGGCAAGAAUUUCCACCUGCAGCUGAUUGAGGUAGCACCACAGUUAGGCCAUAUGUGCAUUAAAGGGGCCUUGCUCUGGAGUGACAGAUGUUUGUGUGUUUGGGGUGGGGGGCUUCCCUCAAACUGUGGCACAGAGAGCUAAGCCUUUGAUAAGGAUGACCGGGAAGGGAGGGAAAGGCCUUUACAGGAACCAGCCUGAGAGGCAAUCGUCUUCUAUGGGUGUUUAUGGGGGGAUGAAGCUGUUUGCAUUACAUCCUGGCAAUAAAAGGCAUAUACUCUUUAAAUGAUUUUCUAGGUCAAGUUUAAGAGCUGAUGGGAAGGCUUCCCAACAAUUGCCUUGAGGAUUGAGGAAGAAGCAAUAAACCAACCCCCUUCUUAGACACUUUUACAGGAAGUGGGAAUUUUUAUAUAUCAACCUUUUAUUUCCCUAUGUAGGAGGGAAGCAUUUAUUACUGCUUGAUAUCUUCUGUUGCCUGUAAGACUUGUAAUUAAUUCCUGGUCUUCCUGUAAUUCCACUGGACUGUGGUAAAACAGUCUGUUAUUGUUUGGGCUUUACUUUUACGUGCUGCUGUGGAGGUUAGCAAUUUUUUUUAUGAAAACAAAUUGACGUGGCUCAUGCAAUAGAUCAUCUUUUCAGGCAGUGAACUGCCCUAAUAGCGAGCUAUCUGAAGGGACAUCGACGAGGUUCAGCUUCUUCCUAGUGGUCAUAUGUCAUGAGGAAAAAGGGAAUGUAAUUGUGCAUGUUAACAGAGACGAGGGUAGCUUGGAAAGCAAAAGUUGCAGCAGGCAGAAGGAAAUCAGAGCGAUGAGGUCUCUCAUAUUCACAAUUGUUCAUAUGCUAUAACUGGGCCAAAUUCCACUGUCAGAUAUUCAUCUCCCUUUGUAAGUCUCUGGUACUUCCUGUUCAAAACCCUUUAUCCAUUGUCUCUGCUUAGGCCUCAGUCCUGUAAAAUCUUAGCAGUACGAGUUCUUUUUAUUUGCUUGUUGGUUUUUGAGCCUUUAGGCUGCCCUUAAUUCCCGCUUUCCAGCAUU